rnacentral:rRNA from 1 species
GAUGAACGCUGGCGGCGUGCCUAAUACAUGCAAGUAGAACGCUGAAGACUUUAGCUUGCUAAAGUUGGAAGAGUUGCGAACGGGUGAGUAACGCGUAGGUAACCUGCCUACUAGCGGGGGAUAACUAUUGGAAACGAUAGCUAAUACCGCAUAACAGCAUUUAACCCAUGUUAGAUGCUUGAAAGGAGCAAUUGCUUCACUAGUAGAUGGACCUGCGUUGUAUUAGCUAGUUGGUGAGGUAACGGCUCACCAAGGCGACGAUACAUAGCCGACCUGAGAGGGUGAGCGGCCACCCUGGGACUGAGACACGGCCCAGACUCCUACGGGAGGCAGCAGUAGGGAAUCUUCGGCAAUGGGGGCAACCCUGACCGAGCAACGCCGCGUGAGUGAAGAAGGUUUUCGGAUCGUAAAGCUCUGUUGUAAGAGAAGAACGUGUGUGAGAGUGGAAAGUUCACACAGUGACGGUAACUUACCAGAAAGGGACGGCUAACUACGUGCCAGCCGCCGCGGUAA